GGGCCUCUAGCUCAACUGGCAGAGCAGCGGACUUUUAAUCCGCGGGUUGUGGGUUCGAGUCCCACGGGGCCCACCA
rnacentral:tRNA from 2 species